GAUGAACGCUGGCGGCGUGCCUAAUACAUGCAAGUCGAGCGAACAGACGAGGAGCUUGCUCCUCUGACGUUAGCGGCGGACGGGUGAGUAACACGUGGAUAACCUACCUAUAAGACUGGGAUAACUUCGGGAAACCGGAGCUAAUACCGGAUAAUAUAUUGAACCGCAUGGUUCAAUAGUGAAAGACGGUUUUGCUGUCACUUAUAGAUGGAUCCGCGCCGCAUUAGCUAGUUGGUAAGGUAACGGCUUACCAAGGCAACGAUGCGUAGCCGACCUGAGAGGGUGAUCGGCCACACUGGAACUGAGACAAGGUCCAGACUCCGACGGGAGGCAGCAGUAGGGAAUCUUCCGCAAUGGGCGAAAGCCUGACGGAGCAACGCCGCGUGAGUGAUGAAGGUCUUCGGAUCGUAAAACUCUGUUAUUAGGGAAGAACAAAUGUGUAAGUAACUAUGCACGUCUUGACGGUACCUAAUCAGAAAGCCACGGCUAACUACGUG
rnacentral:rRNA from 1 species